GACAUACACACCAGCCAGCUGAGGCGCUGAGCCAGUCACCGCGGUGCGAGCGCCCAGUCCCGGCCGCCGCCAGCGCUCGAUGCUGACCGCCGUGUCCAAGUUCCGCAACAAAUCCGGUCUCGCCAGCACCACCCGUGUUAUGCCCUUCUUCCUCUCCACCUUCCCCGCCCCCGCCACCGCCGCUCCGCUCUGCCCUCCUCCGUCCCCAUACCCUAGCCCCCACUUCCGCCUCCCUUCCCUGCCCCGCCGCGGCCUCGCCUUCCUCGCCGCCGCUGCGCCGCCGCGGGCCCUGCCCCCCACGCCCAGGCAGGCCAUGGCGUCGCUGGCGACGUCGACGGCGGCCGCCGCCGCCGCGGAGGUGACGCACCUCUCGCAGCGCGACGCUGCGGAUAUCGACGAGCAGCUCAUGGGCCCCCUCGGUUUCAGCGUCGACCAGCUCAUGGAGCUCGCCGGGCUAAGCGUCGCUACGGCCGUCGCGGAGGUUUAUAAGCUGAGUGAGCAUACGAGGGUUCUUAUCAUCUGUGGUCCGGGAAAUAAUGGUGGUGAUGGUCUGGUUGCUGCUCGCCAUCUUUAUCAUUUUGGAUACAAGCCCUUUGUUUGUUAUCCAAAACGUACCGCCAAACCUCUUUAUUCUGGCCUUGUUACUCAGCUUGAAUCGCUGGCUAUCCCGUUUGUGCCUGUUGAAGACCUACCUCAGGACUUAUCAGGGCAGUAUGACAUUGUUAUUGACGCGAUGUUUGGUUUCUCAUUUCAUGGAACACCCCGACCACCCUUUGAUGAUCUUAUCCAAAUGCUUGUUUCAUUGAGUGUUGUUGGUGAUUCAGCGAAAAGACCACCAAUUGUUUCUGUUGAUAUCCCUUCUGGGUGGCAUGUAGAAGAGGGAGAUGUCAGUGGAGGAGGAAUUAAGCCUGAUAUGCUGGUAUCAUUGACUGCACCAAAGCUCUGUGCCAAAAAAUUUACUGGGCCCCACCAUUUCCUAGGGGGUAGGUUUGUCCCGCCUCCCAUUUCGAGCAAAUAUGGGCUCGAACUUCCACCAUAUCCUGGAACCUCCAUGUGUGUAAGAAUUGGAAAAGUGCCGUCAGUUGACAUUUCAUCUCUCAGGGAGAAUUAUAUUUCCCCAGAACUUCUUGAGAACCAAGUGAUGCCUAAUCCAUUUGACCAGUUUCGUAGUUGGUUUGAUGAAGCAGUUACUGCUGGCCUGCGCGAACCAAAUGCCAUGGCUUUAACAACUGUCAAUAAAGCGGGAAAGCCUUCUUCAAGAAUGGUUCUUUUAAAAGGCGUUGAUAAGCAGGGAUUUGUUUGGUACACAAAUUACGGUAGCCAAAAAGCACAUGAUUUAUCGGAAAAUUCAAAUGCGGCACUUCUUUUCUACUGGAAUGAGAUGAACCGACAGGUUAGAGUAGAAGGGUCAGUUCAGAAGGUCUCAGAAGAAGAAUCUGAGAAGUAUUUCCACAGCCGCCCACGUGGAAGUCAGCUUGGUGCUAUUGUUAGCAAGCAGAGCACUGUCAUUUCUGGAAGAGAAGUUCUCCAACAAGCGUACAAGGAAUUGGAACAAAAAUAUUCUGAUGGUAGCUUCAUCCCAAAACCUGAUUACUGGGGUGGGUACAGAUUGACACCAAAUCUUUUUGAGUUCUGGCAAGGCCAACAGUCUCGUCUGCAUGACCGGCUACAGUAUUCACAGCGAGAAGUAGGUGGGAGUACAGAAUGGCACAUCCAAAGGUUGUCCCCUUGAUCAGUAACCUCCUUAAAGCUCUCGCCUCUUGGUAAUAAAAGGGGGUGUCGUUUUGGUACCUGCGCACACUUGCUCCUGAAAAGCAGGAUACAUGAGGCGUAUAAGCCGAUUUAAUGCAGCGGGCCCAAACUCGCGAGGCAGGCUGUGAAGAUUGCUGUUAUGUUGCUCGUUUGUUUGAUGACUGGCGCUACUCCGAACUCACAUGGGCCAUCGGCCCAGGAUGUGCAACCCUUAUGUUCCAUGGUUUCCAGCCUGUAACCGAGGGCUCUCUUCACAUUGGAUACUUCUCAUGUGCUACUAUUUCUUAGUGUCUCGACUCUUUUCACAUAAAUGAAUUGGUGAAAGUCUGAACUUGCUGACAAAUAUGUAGAGUCCAUUUUUCCUGUAUUGACGACCGAGCUUGUCAGGGUUGUGUGUUGACAAAUUAUAUGGUAUUUUCCUAUUAAAAAACUUACAUGGUAUAUUAAAUGUACAUGGUUUAAAACUUGUA